GUUAGACGCACGAGAAAAAAAAGAAAACACCUACAUCGGUAUCUUCCUGCUUUCUUGUCUGCAGUGCUACGAAAUAAGUAAACAAAAUCAAGUUAAAUCUCAGGAGACCGGGGACCUUCUGAGAAGAACUUUCAUUUUUUUACUGCUCUCUUUCCACCGGUUUUUAAAACAUAGCUCCGUAUACUGGUGAGCCUGUAAACAUAAACAUUUUAGGUGUGGAGAAUGGGCGUCUAAAGAAAGACUUUAGAGACUUCGGCAAAAUGCAAUGUAAAACCUCUCGGCCCCCAUUUCACGAUGCAACCUUUGGCUUCUCCAGAGUAGGAGCUGGGAGAAGGAGAAGAGGAGCAGUACCUGCAGACACGUGACCAUGAAGCCUGCUAUGUCCUGUGUCUCUGCCCCUGGAGGUCCUGAUCACCCACAUCUUUGCUCAAAGGUGCUUUGCUCCUCCUGAAUGCAUACCUGACUGCUUACGUUUCUCAUGCGUCCGUGCUUAGAGCUCACUGCGGGAUGAGUUACUUCAGGGGAUCCUUCAUGAGUUGUUAACCACCCUUAUUAAAAUGUGAAACUAACAUAAAGCAAUGUUAAACUAUUAUUUUUUAAACAAGAAAGCACACAUACUUCCAGAUUCCAAUAUAAAGAUUUUCAUUUUUAUAUAUUCAAUA
rnacentral:lncRNA from 1 species